GACGUAGGGCGCGAGCGUUGUCCGGAUUUAUUGGGCGUAAAGAGCUCGUAGGCGGCUUGUCGCGUCGAAUGUGAAAACUCGGGCUCAACUCCGAGCUUGCAUUCGAUACGGGCAGGCUAGAGUUCGGUAGGGGAGACUGGAAUUCCUGGUGUAGCGGUGAAAUGCGCAGAUAUCAGGAGGAACACCGGUGGCGAAGGCGGGUCUCUGGGCCGAUACUGACGCUGAGGAGCGAAAGCGUGGGGAGCGAACAGG
rnacentral:rRNA from 1 species